UAAAUGCACUUGGGUCCCAGAUC
rnacentral:piRNA from 1 species